GAGGGUAUAGCUCAGUGGUAGAGAGUGCUCAGCAUGCACAAGGUCCUGGGUUCAAUCCCCAAUGCCUCCA
rnacentral:tRNA from 1 species